UGUUGCAAAAUUCGUAAAGCAAAUCAAGUGAACAAACCGCUCCUUUUCAGAUCAAAACCUGUUAAGGAUUGCGGUGUCUUUUUGGCAACCCAGGGGUUAUUCAUAUGCCUGUUUCAACUGUUCCAGUAGCUUCAGGAAAUAGCAAGGUGGAGCAGCCCACAAGAAAGCCAGCAUCAUCCUCAAAGGAUGCUCAUAGCUACGGAAGAACCAACUUGGCUAAAAACACUUUUCAACUUGGCCACAAGGAAAUGGGGUGAGACUUUGUCAUGUAUGUCACUGAAGUUCAGCUAUGCAAAAACGUUCACCUAUCCUUGAUCGACCAGUCCAGGAACCAUCAGAGAAGAAAAUGAGAUUCGACUGUAAGACCUGUUCUUUAUAAACUCCUGCACAGCCCUAAUGAUCAACACCACUUCCAGUGCUCAUAAAUUACUGCUUCAAUAAUUGUUCUGCAAUUCUGCCUAUUCUCAUUGAAUGCUUUGUAUAAUCCCUUUAUCAACUUUGGGCUACAAUUCAUUUUUAUCAGUGAGUAUUGUACUUGUUUCAACUCAAAAAUCAUUCUCCUUGAGAAAAAAAAAAGAACGGAGUUGA